CCUACGGGUGGCAGCAGUCGAGAAUCAUUCACAAUGGGGGAAACCCUGAUGGUGCGACGCCGCGUGGGGGAAUGAAGGUCUUCGGAUUGUAAACCCCUGUCAUGUGGGAGCAAAUUAAAAAGAUAGUACCACAAUAGGAAGAGACGGCUAACUCUGUGCCAGUAGCCGCGGUAAGACAGAGGUCUUAAGCGUUGUUCGGCAGCACUGGGCGUAAAGCGUGCGUAGGCUGUUUCGUAAGUCGUGUGUGAAAGGCGCGGGCUCAACCCGCGGACGGCACAUGAUACUGCGAGACUAGAGUGAUGGAGGGGGAAGCGGAAUUCACGGUGUAGCAGUGAAAUGCGUAGAUAUCGAGAAGAACACUCGUGGCGAAGGCAGGUUCCUGGACAUUAACUGACGCUGAGGCACGAAGGCCAGGGGAGCGAAAGGGAUUAGAUACCCCUGUAGUC
rnacentral:rRNA from 1 species